rnacentral:misc_RNA from 1 species
GAUGAAGAACGUAGCGAAAUGCGAUACUUGGUGUGAAUUGCAGAAUCCCGUGAACCAUCGAGUCUUUGAACGCAAGUUGCGCCCGAAGCCACUAGGCCGAGGGCACGCCUGCCUGGGCGUCACACGUCGUUGCCCCCCCCCCAUCUACUCCUUCGGGAUUGCGGGGGGCGGAUGAUGGCCUCCCGUGCGCCUAGCCGCGCGGUUGGCAUAAAUACCAAGUCCUCGGCGACGCACGCCACGACAAUCGGUGGUUGCGAAACCUCGGUUGCCCGUCGUGUGCGUUCGUCGCGCAUCGAGGGCUUGAAAAAAUGCUCGGCUCCGGCUCGGCUUUCAACGCGACCCCAGGUCAGGCGGGGUUACCCGCUGAAUUUAAGCAUAUCAAUAAGCGGAGGA